rnacentral:rRNA from 1 species
CCUACGGGUGGCUGCAGUGGGUGAUAUUGCACAAUGGAGGAACCUCUGAUGCAGCGACGCCGCGUGAGGGAAGACGGUCUUCGGAUUGUAAACCUCUGUCUUUGGGGAAGAAAAUGACGGUACCCACAGAGGCCGCUCCGGCUAACUACGUGCCAGCAGCCGCGGUAAUACGUAGGGAGCGAGCGUUGUCCUGAAUUACUGGGAGUAAAGGGAGCGUAGGCGGGCGAGAAAGUUGAAUGUUAAAUCUACCGGCUUAACUGGUAGCUGCGGUCAAAAAUUCUUGUCUGGAGUGAAGUAGAGGCAGGCGGAAUUCCUAGUGUAGCGGUGAAAUGCGUAGAUAUUAGGAGGAACACCAGUGGCGAAGGCGGCCUGCUGGGCUUUAACUGACGCUGAGGCUCGAAAGCGUGGGGAGCAAACAGGAUUAGAUACCCGUGUAGUC